UACGUAGGGUGCGAGCGUUGUCCGGAUUCACUGGGUUUAAAGGGUGCGUAGGCGGGUAGGUAAGUCCGUGGUGAAAUCUCUGAGCUUAACUCAGAAACUGCCGUGGAUACUAUUUGCCUUGAAUAUUGUGGAGGUGAGCGGAAUAUGUCAUGUAGCGGUGAAAUGCUUAGAUAUGACAUAGAACACCAAUUGCGAAGGCAGCUCACUACACAAUGAUUGACGCUGAGGCACGAAAGCGUGGGGAUCAAACAGG
rnacentral:rRNA from 1 species